rnacentral:rRNA from 1 species
GUGAGGAAUAUUGGUCAAUGGGCGGGAGCCUGAACCAGCCAAGUCGCGUGAAGGAAGAAGGAUCUAUGGUUCGUAAACUUCUUUUGCAGGGGAAUAAAGUGCAGGACGUGUCCUGUUUUGUAUGUACCCUGAGAAUAAGGAUCGGCUAACUCCGUGCCAGCAGCCGCGGUAAUACGGAGGAUCCGAGCGUUAUCCGGAUUUAUUGGGUUUAAAGGGUGCGUAGGUGGUUUGAUAAGUCAGCGGUGAAAGUUUGCAGCUUAACUGUAAACAUGCCAUUGAAACUGUCGGACUUGAGUGUAAAUGAGGUAGGCGGAAUGCGUGGUGUAGCGGUGAAAUGCAUAGAUAUCACGCAGAACUCCGAUUGCGAAGGCAGCUUACUAAGCUACAACUGACACUGAAGCACGAAAGCGUGGGGAUCAAACAGGAUUAGAUACCCGAGUAGUCC